rnacentral:rRNA from 1 species
AUACGGAGGGUCCAAGCGUUAUCCGGAAUCAUUGGGUUUAAAGGGUCCGCAGGCGGGAAAAUAAGUCAGUGGUGAAAGCCUACAGCUCAACUGUAGAACUGCCAUUGAUACUGUUUUUCUUGAGUAUAGAUGAAGUGGGCGGAAUAUAUCAUGUAGCGGUGAAAUGCAUAGAUAUGAUAUAGAACACCGAUUGCGAAGGCAGCUCACUAAACUAUUACUGACGCUCAGGGACGAAAGCGUGGGGAGCGAACAGGAUUAGAUACCCUAGUAGUCC